AGAAGAUAGGCUCUGAGGGUCAGGUCUUUCCUACUGAUGAGUCAACAGGGUCAAUAGAAGGUAGGCUCUGAGGGUCAGGUCUUUCCUACUGAUGAGUCAACAGGGUCAAUAGAAGGUAGGCUCUGAGGGUCAGGUCUUUCCUACUGAUGAGUCAACAGGGUCAAUAGAAGGUAGGCUCUGAGGGUCAGGUCUUUCCUACUGAUGAGUCAACAGGGUCAAUAGAAGGUAGGCUCUGAGGGUCAGGUCUUUCCUACUGAUGAGUCAACAGGGUCAAUAGAAGGUAGGCUCUGAGGGUCAGGUCUUUCCUACUGAUGAGUCAACAGGGUCAAUAGAAGGUAGGCUCUGAGGGUCAGGUCUUUCCUACUGAUGAGUCAACAGGGUCAACAGAAGGUAGGCUCUGAGGGUCAGGUCUUUCCUACUGAUGAGUCAACAGGGUCAACAGAAGGUAGGCUCUGGGGGUCAGGUCUUUCCUACUGAUGAGUCAACAGGGUCAACAGAAGGUAGGCUCUGGGGGUCAGGUCUUUCCUACUGAUGAGUCAACAGGGUCAACAGAAGGUAGGCUCUGAGGGUCAGGUCUUUCCUACUGAUGAGUCAACAGGGUCAAUAGAAGGUAGGCUCUGAGGGUCAGGUCUUUCCUACUGAUGAGUCAACAGGGUCAACAGAAGGUAGGCUCUGGGGGUCAGGUCUUUCCUACUGAUGAGUCAACAGGGUCAACAGAAGGUAGGCUCUGAGGGUCAGGUCUUUCCUACUGAUGAGUCAACAGGGUCAAUAGAAGGUAGGCUCUGAGGGUCAGGUCUUUCCUACUGAUGAGUCAACAGGGUCAAUAGAAGGUAGGCUCUGAGGGUCAGGUCUUUCCUACUGAUGAGUCAACAGGGUCAAUAGAAGGUAGGCUCUGAGGGUCAGGUCUUUCCUACUGAUGAGUCAACAGGGUCAAUAGAAGGUAGGCUCUGGGGGUCAGGUCUUUCCUACUGAUGAGUCAACAGGGUCAACAGAAGGUAGGCUCUGAGGGUCAGGUCUUUCCUACUGAUGAGUCAACAGGGUCAACAGAAGAUAGGCUCUGAGGGUCAGGUCUUGACACGUUCCUGAAUAAUAAAGCAACACCUGAGGGAAUGGCAUCUAAAACAAUUGCAAAAUCUUUAGGUGUUACAGGG